rnacentral:rRNA from 1 species
AGAGUUUGAUCCUGGCUCAGAAUGAACGCUGGCGGCGUGCCUAACACAUGCAAGUCGAACGAGAAAUUUUGCCUUCGGGCGAGAGAGUAAAGUGGCGCACGGGUGAGUAACGCGUGGAUAACCUGCCCUUUAAUCUGGAAUAACUUCGCGAAAGCGUUGCUAAUACUGGAUAUUGUCCUUUAGACAGUAGUUUUUAGGAUAAAAGGUGACCUAUUCUUGAAAGUUGUCGUUAGAGGAGGGGUCCGCGUACCAUUAGCUAGUUGGUGGGGUAAUGGCCUACCAAGGUUACGAUGGUUAGCUGGUCUGAGAGGAUGAUCAGCCACACUGGAACUGAAACACGGUCCAGACUCCUACGGGAGGCAGCAGUGAGGAAUUUUGCGCAAUGGGGGAAACCCUGACGCAGCAACGCCGCGUGAGUGAAGAAGGUUUUCGGAUCGUAAAGCUCUGUCGAGUGGGAAAAAGGUUUUAAUAUAAAUAGUAUUAAAAAUUGAUGGUACCACUAGAGGAAGCACCGGCUAACUCCGUGCCAGCAGCCGCGGUAAUACGGAGGGUGCAAGCGUUAUUCGGAAUUACUGGGCGUAAAGAGCGUGUAGGCGGGUGAUAAGUCAGAUGUGAAGCCCUGGGCUUACCCAGGAAUGCUUUGAUACUGUCUUCUUGAUAUGGGAGAGGAGGUGGAUUCCUAUGAGAGUGAAUUCGAGAAUAGAGGACUCCUGCAAGCAUCUCUGACAUAUGCGUGAACCGAACGGGGACGACAGAUAAACCUGUAUCACGCGAACA